CAUGGACCUUUGCUCUCACUUGUAAGCCUGCAAGAAUGCUGUAUCGUGUAGCAUUGCUUUAUGAUGCUCAUCGUCCUCAUUUUAGUAUCAUUGCAAUAUCUGCCGGAGAUAGUACUACCCAGGUAUCACAAGAAGUCCCAGAAAACUGUCAAGAAUGGAUAGGAGGAAAGAUGGCCCAAAAUGGAUUAGAUCAUUACGUGUAUAAAGUCGGGAUAGCAUUUAACACAGAAAUAUUUGGAACUUUUCGCCAAACCAUAGUUUUCGACUUUGGAUUGGAACCAGUACUCAUGCAAAGAGUAAUGAUUGAUGCAGCUUCUACAGAAGGUAAUAUUUAGACUUUUUUCCCGAUACAAUGUGUUAAAAAGCAACAUUCAAAGAUAUGUAUUGGCCCUUGAAUAUAUUCCAUGGAUAGGAAGAGAAUAA
rnacentral:sRNA from 1 species